rnacentral:rRNA from 1 species
UGGGGAAUAUUGCACAAUGGGCGAAAGCCUGAUGCAGCAACGCCGCGUGAGUGAUGAAGGUCUUCGGAUUGUAAAGCUCUGUCUUUUGGGACGAUAAUGACGGUACCAAAGGAGGAAGCCACGGCUAACUACGUGCCAGCAGCCGCGGUAAUACGUAGGUGGCGAGCGUUGUCCGGAUUUACUGGGCGUAAGGGUGCGUAGGCGGAUGUUUAAGUGAGAUGUGAAA